GGUCCAGCCUGUCAAUCACAUCGAAGCUCCGCCCCUCCAGGCUGGAACAAGGAGCUGCUCUGCUGCUGGCCUCUUGUGAAACCAAUGACAGCUGGAUGAAGAUACACAAGCGUACAAGGAUACAGUAUGAUGCAUUAAUGAUUCUUAAGGCUCUCACGUCUCUUUCUACUUAGACUGUGCACAUUGAUUGGUCCUUACUUAGUCUGGGCUCUGAUCCCACAGUCCUGGCUAUGUCAUGUACCAGGAAUCCUGAUUUAUUUCCACCCACACCAUCUAAAGUACUCCUGCACCUUUCAGUAUCUCCGUCUCAGAAUCUCUGGAUCAUCGUGCUGGCUGGUGGAAGUGCAACGCGGGAGCGUGGACUUCCGUACGCAGCAGGGAACAGAGAGUGACAACUGCAAAUACAGUAAGAGUGGCACGCAGCCGGUUUAUCCUACGAUGUGCUAAUUGUUUUCCGGAUCCCUGUUAACAGUUGCUUCUGAUGUUGUCUACGGCCGGGAACAUUUUGAUUGUUGAUGUUGAACAGAUAUGGACGUCCUUAAAGUUGUUAGAUAAAGAAUGCGUUACAAGUCCUUUUCUAAUACUGCGCAAAUGUUCACCAAGGCGUGUUUUCCAUGCUCUACUUGUU